UACGUAGGGUGCGAGCGUUGUCCGGAAUUAUUGGGCGUAAAGAGCUCGUAGGCGGCCUGUCGCGUCGGAUGUGAAAGCCCGGGGCUUAACCCCGGGUCUGCAUUCGAUACGGGCAGGCUAGAGUUCGGUAGGGGAGAUCGGAAUUCCUGGUGUAGCGGUGAAAUGCGCAGAUAUCAGGAGGAACACCGGUGGCGAAGGCGGGUCUCUGGGCCGAUAUUGACGCUGAGGAGCGAAAGCGUGGGGAGCAAACAGG
rnacentral:rRNA from 1 species